UUUCCUGCUCUGAGUGUCACACGCUUACUUUCUCUGUGUCUUUGAGCAGGUGAUGCUCUCCCUUUGGACUCAGCUUGCCCCCUCUCCCACCAUGGGGAAGUUUUAGAAACCUCGUGCUAUUCCAGAAAACAACCUAGCUGACCACUUUGAUGUGCUGCGGACAAAACCCCAGACUUGACAUGUGCUAGACAAGUGCUCUACCCCUGAGCUACACUCCAGCUAAAAGAUCUUAUAUUCCCCUCUGUUGUACUUUUUCAACAAAGCCAUGGCUCCUGCUGAAGAUUACCAGGUAUAAGAUCUUGCAGCGUUAUGAACUUUCGACUGAGCUCAGUGAUCUCCUCCUGCUGCUGGCAGCACCCCCACCAUUACUUAGCACUGAGACAGGAGUCUUGCAUUGCUGUCCUCUGAGUGGAUCCACCUAGCAGCUGACUCUGACAGAUGUAGACACCCACAGCCAAACAGUGGAUGGAGCUUAAAGACUCUUAUAAAAGAAUAAGAGGAAGAAUCACAGCCCUGAAGGAUAGGAACUCUACAGGAAGAUCAACAGAAUCAACUAAACUGGACCCUUAAAACUCUCAGAGACUGAACCACCAACCAAAGAACAUACAUGGAAUGGACCUAGGCCUCCCCUCACACAUGUACCAGCUUGAUCUUCAUGUAGGUUCCCAACAAUCGGAGCAGUGGCCAUCCAAAAAGCUGUUGCCUGCACAUGGGAUAUGUUCCUCUAGGUGGGCUGCUCCAGGCUUGUCUGGCUGCAGUAGGAGAGGAUGAGCCUAACCUUGCAGAGACUUGAUAUGCGGGGUUUGGGGGGAUACCCAGGGGAGCCCCCACCCACUCAGAGAGGGUAUGGGGAAAGCAAUUUUGGUAGAGGGUGACUGGGAAUGGGGCAGUGAGAAGGAUGUAAAGAAAAUAAGGGAAAAAUAAAAUGAAAUAAAUAUAAAGGGGAAAA